rnacentral:rRNA from 1 species
AUUGAACGCUGGCGGCAUGCUUUACACAUGCAAGUCGAACGGAUUUUGGGGCUUGCUCCAGAGUUAGUGGCGAACGGGUGAGUAAUAUAUCGGAACGUACCCGGCAAUGGGGGAUAACGUAGCGACAGUUACGCUAAUACCGCAUAUGCCCUGAGGGGGAAAGCAGGGGACCAGUAAUGGCCUUGCGUUGUCGGAGGGGCCGAUAUCGGAUUAGCUAGGUGGGGAGGUAAAGGCUCACCAAGGGGACGAUCCGUAGCGGGUCGGAGAGGAUGAUCCGCCACACUGAGACUGAGACACGGCCCAGACUCCUACGGGAGGCAGCAGUGGGGAAUUUUGGACAAUGGGCGAAAGCCUGAUCCAGCCAUGCCGCGUGAGUGAAGAAGGCCUUCGGGUUGUAAAGCUCUUUCAGGUGGAAAGAAAAGGUUACGGAUAAUACCUGUAACUGAUGACGGUACCAUCAGAAGAAGCACCGGCUAACUACGUGCCAGCCGCCGCCGUAACAC